UACGUAGGGUGCGAGCGUUAAUCGGAAUUACUGGGCGUAAAGCGUGCGCAGGCGGUUUUGUAAGCCAGAUGUGAAAUCCCCGGGCUUAACCUGGGAAUGGCAUUUGGGACUGCAAGGCUGGAGUGCGGCAGAGGAGACUGGAAUUCCUGGUGUAGCAGUGAAAUGCGUAGAUAUCAGGAGGAAUACCGAUGGCGAAGGCAGGUCUCUGGGCUGACACUGACGCUCAUGGCACGAAAGCGUGGGAGC
rnacentral:rRNA from 1 species